rnacentral:sRNA from 1 species
UAGCUGUCGAAUUCUAUAAUUGUCGUUGG